CUACAGAGAUGUGCAAAGUUAACAUAAGUAAACUGAUUCUGACAGGUAAAAAUGAUCAAAGGCUAUGCCGUCUAGCGUCAGAAAGAAGAAACGUUUAAAAGUAAACAUGAAAAAAUGUCUGCUGUAGCUCGGUGACACUCAAUUUAAAGAACUGACAAACAAAGGUAACAAAAAACUUUGAUACUCACGUAACAUUCUCCCUGCCAAAUUUCACCACGCAGCAUCACAACAGACGAAAUUCCAAGGUGAUGAUGGACGCCAGUCCAACUUCUACACACUUCAACAACCACACAACUUCACCAGUCCAACUUCUACACUGAAGACAAGGCAGUAAUAAUGGUUCAUGUGCCUUGUCUGCAAGCAAUUCCAGAUGUUUCAGCACCUGGGCUACAGUGCUUGGACAGUGCCUGCCAGUUAUUCAGAAUGCUUUUCUAUUCACCGUAGCAUACUACAAGGCAACGGCAAAUGUUGAGUAAAUCUCAAAAAUGAUAGUGAAGAUGAAAAAUUCUUUCCACACUACCCUAUCUGACAACAUCAUUAUGUAACUGGCUCAUUCGAUCCUCACUCUAGGAACUGGACAUCUAAUUAAAUUAAUAAUCACCCCUUUAGCUUUCUUCCUGUAAUUCUGCACUUUGUCUUACUUGUGAUCUUUCUUUUUUCUGUAGGUUACAAUGGCCAUUGAUAAUUGGAGAGCAGCAUUGGAAUGUGACAGGUUGUCUAGGCUAAAAGCCCUAGGGAAACUUCGUCUGCUCCUAAGUUACACAGUACACAACUACACAUCAUAAGUUACUUUACAAAAUAAAAACAAAUUCAGAUUAGGAUUUCAAGAAGAUUUCAGCUGAAGUUGACCUAGGUGCAGCCUUAGAGCUUGUGUAAACAGAGAUCAAACGGACAAUCCAAUAAUGCAAGCUGUCUUCCCUAAACUAAAUGGUCUGCAUUUGCAAGAAAAUUGCAUGACAACAUUGAAAGAUUGUGGUGAGUUGAUUUUGAUUAAGUUUAAAUUUAGGGAAAUGUAAGAUUGAUAGAUUUGAGGUAUUAAGGUGUAUAAUGAC